rnacentral:rRNA from 1 species
UUAAGCGACUAAGCGUACACGGUGGAUGCCCUGGCAGUCAGAGGCGAUGAAGGACGUGCUAAUCUGCGAAAAGCGUCGGUAAGGUGAUAUGAACCGUUAUAGCCGGCGAUGUCCGAAUGGGGAAACCCAGUGCAAUUCGUUGCACUAUCGUUAACUGAAUACAUAGGUUAACGAGGCGAACCGGGGGAACUGAAACAUCUAAGUACCCCGAGGAAAAGAAAUCAACCGAGAUUCCCCCAGUAGCGGCGAGCGAACGGGGAGCAGCCCAGAGUCUGAAUCAGCUUGUGUGUUAGUGGAACGGUCUGGAAAGUCCGACGGUACAGGGUGAUAGUCCCGUACACCAAAAUGCACAGGCUGUGAACUCGAAGAGUAGGGCGGGACACGUGGUAUCCUGUCUGAAUAUGGGGGGACCAUCCUCCAAGGCUAAAUACUCCUGACUGACCGAUAGUGAACCAGUACCGUGAGGGAAAGGCGAAAAGAACCCCGGCGAGGGGAGUGAAAAAGAACCUGAAACCGUGUACGUACAAGCAGUGGGAGCACCUUCGGGUGUGACUGCGUACCUUUUGUAUAAUGGGUCAGCGACUUAUAUUCUGUAGCAAGGUUAACCGUAUAGGGGAGCCGCAGGGAAACCGAGUCUUAACUGGGCGUUAAGUUGCAGGGUAUAGACCCGAAACCCGGUGAUCUAGCCAUGGGCAGGUUGAAGGUUGGGUAACACUAACUGGAGGACCGAACCGACUAAUGUUGAAAAAUUAGCGGAUGACUUGUGGCUGGGGGUGAAAGGCCAAUCAAACCGGGAGAUAGCUGGUUCUCCCCGAAAGCUAUUUAGGUAGCGCCUCGUGAACUCAUCUUCGGGGGUAGAGCACUGUUUCGGCUAGGGGGUCAUCCCGACUUACCAACCCGAUGCAAACUACGAAUACCGAAGAAUGUUAUCACGGGAGACACACGGCGGGUGCUAACGUCCGUCGUGAAGAGGGAAACAACCCAGACCGCCAGCUAAGGUCCCAAAGUCAUGGUUAAGUGGGAAACGAUGUGGGAAGGCACAGACAGCCAGGAUGUUGGCUUAGAAGCAGCCAUCAUUUAAAGAAAGCGUAAUAGCUCACUGGUCGAGUCGGCCUGCGCGGAAGAUGUAACGGGGCUAAACCAUGCACCGAAGCUGCGGCAGCGACACUAUGUGUUGUUGGGUAGGGGAGCGUUCUGUAAGCCUGCGAAGGUGUGCUGUGAGGCAUGCUGGAGGUAUCAGAAGUGCGAAUGCUGACAUAAGUAACGAUAAAGCGGGUGAAAAGCCCGCUCGCCGGGAAGACCAAGGGUUCCUGUCCAACGUUAAUCGGGGCAGGGUGAGUCGACCCCUAAGGCGAGGCCGAAAGGCGUAGUCGAUGGGAAACAGGUUAAUAUUCCUGUACUUGGUGUUACUGCGAAGGGGGGACGGAGAAGGCUAUGUUAGCCGGGCGACGGUUGUCCCGGUUUAAGCAUGUAGGCUGAUUGUCCAGGCAAAUCCGGAUAAUCAAGGCUGAGGUGUGAUGACGAGGCACUACGGUGCUGAAGUAACAAAUGCCCUGCUUCCAGGAAAAGCCUCUAAGCAUCAGGUAACAUCAAAUCGUACCCCAAACCGACACAGGUGGUCAGGUAGAGAAUACCAAGGCGCUUGAGAGAACUCGGGUGAAGGAACUAGGCAAAAUGGUGCCGUAACUUCGGGAGAAGGCACGCUGGUGUGUAGGUGAAGUCCCUGCGGAUGGAGCUGAGACCAGUCGAAGAUACCAGCUGGCUGCAACUGUUUAUUAAAAACACAGCACUGUGCAAACACGAAAGUGGACGUAUACGGUUGUGACGCCUGCCCGGUGCCGGAAGGUUAAUUGAUGGGGUUAUCCGUAAGGAGAAGCUCUUGAUCGAAGCCCCGGUAAACGGCGGCCGUAACUAUAACGGUCCUAAGGUAGCGAAAUUCCUUGUCGGGUAAGUUCCGACCUGCACGAAUGGCGUAAUGAUGGCCAGGCUGUCUCCACCCGAGACUCAGUGAAAUUGAACUCGCUGUGAAGAUGCAGUGUACCCGCGGCAAGACGGAAAGACCCCGUGAACCUUUACUAUAGCUUGACACUGAACAUUGAGCCUUGAUGUGUAGGAUAGGUGGGAGGCUUUGAAGCGUGGACGCCAGUCUGCGUGGAGCCAACCUUGAAAUACCACCCUUUAAUGUUUGAUGUUCUAACGUUGGCCCCUGACCGGGGUUGCGGACAGUGUCUGGUGGGUAGUUUGACUGGGGCGGUCUCCUCCCAAAGCGUAACGGAGGAGCACGAAGGUUAGCUAAUCCUGGUCGGACAUCAGGAGGUUAGUGCAAUGGCAUAAGCUAGCUUGACUGCGAGCGUGACGGCGCGAGCAGGUGCGAAAGCAGGUCAUAGUGAUCCGGUGGUUCUGAAUGGAAGGGCCAUCGCUCAACGGAUAAAAGGUACUCCGGGGAUAACAGGCUGAUACCGCCCAAGAGUUCAUAUCGACGGCGGUGUUUGGCACCUCGAUGUCGGCUCAUCACAUCCUGGGGCUGAAGUAGGUCCCAAGGGUAUGGCUGUUCGCCAUUUAAAGUGGUACGCGAGCUGGGUUUAGAACGUCGUGAGACAGUUCGGUCCCUAUCUGCCGUGGGCGCUGGAGAAUUGAGGGGGGCUGCUCCUAGUACGAGAGGACCGGAGUGGACGCAUCACUGGUGUUCGGGUUGUCAUGCCAAUGGCACUGCCCGGUAGCUAAAUGCGGAAGAGAUAAGUGCUGAAAGCAUCUAAGCACGAAACUUGCCCCGAGAUGAGUUCUCCCUGAGACUUUAAGUCUCCUGAAGGAACGUUGAAGACGACGACGUUGAUAGGCCGGGUGUGUAAGCGCAGCGAUGCGUUGAGCUAACCGGUACUAAUGAACCGUGAGGCUUAACCUU